GCCGCCGCCGCCCACCCCUGCACCGCCACGCCCAGCCCUGCUCCGCCGCCGCCAUGCCCAGCCCCUGGCACACCUUCUGCUCAACCGACGCGGCCGUGGGUCGCCGUCAACGCCCCUUGCUCCUCCUCUCCUCCCUGAUGGACGUGAGCGCGGGUCUCCGGCCGGCGGGCGGCGGCACCGAAACGAGCGAAGCUGAGCAGUGGGGGUGGUGGAUUGGUCAUGAGGACAACGCAGAGCACGAGCAGCGGCUAAUUGCGCUCGCGAUAGUGAUGGUUGUAAUCCUUUAUUCAAUCAGUGUUGUAAUCGUUUAUUCAAUGUCCCCUGCAAAUUCUGACGUGCGUCCAUGAUGCUGCCAGCGUGCUGUGCGUGUUGGAUGAAUCAUCGAGGGCAUGCGCGGCUGGCCGGUCGGCUGGCAUGUGUGCUCUACGUGUGUGUUGACUCAGUUUCCAUGCUUUUCCUCCAUAUACACACCUCAAGCUGGGGAUUGGGAAGCACAGAUGGGACAGAAAGCUGCUACAAUGCUUCGUGAACAACUACGCAGAGUUCAGCAGCAAGAAGGAUUGGUAAACCUCUCAUCUGUGGAGUGAUAUUGAUUUGUCAAGAGCUAUCAAAAGGCAAGGAACCAUCUUGCGCUCAACCAGAUUCAUACUUUCCCAUUAAGAUCAUAUAGUUUUAGCCGCACAAUUUAUAGUUAGAGCAUAACGAGCACUCAUAUUUGGAUUAUGUUCCUUGAUCCGCCUAUGUAAAAUAUUUGUAUGUACUUGAAUUGCAGUUUGACAUCUAAGGCCCUGUUUGGAAU